ACUCAGGAUAUCUGAAAAUGCCACAGGAGAAAUACUUGGUUUUAUCAGUACAAGGAAGAUGAGAACAUGAAGAUCUUGUCUCUGCUGAGUUUGUUACAACGCGACAGUUACGUGGAACACUGCGAGGCCUAAUCUAAGGCACAUGAAGGACAGGAUGAGGAUGACCGUUGAAGAACCCAGCUGUCGGGGACAAUUGCUUUAAAGUCUUUGUAAUGUUACCCCAAGGAAGCCCAAGAGAUGAGCAAGAAGAUUGAUCACAGAACACUGAACAGAACUAAGCAGACCACAGCCAAAUGGAUAAUGUUUCACAAAGAACUUGUAAUCUCUGAAUGCAGGGCUUCGUUUCAACCACAUGCAUUCCAUAACGGCUAUAAAUUCCAUUAGCACUAAAUAUCCACUGAGCUCUAAGCCAAGGAGAGGAACAAAAUAUCAAAACAGCCUUGUGUGUUUCAACUAUUAUUUAGAGAGUGGUUCCUCCAUGCCAGGCACUAGAGUAGGUGAUUAGAGGACUCAGUGAAUAAGAACACAGUUCCUGCAGCCUGCAUGUGCUUUGAGAAGUGGCAAUCUUAGACCUUGAAAUAAAUAAUUUCAGUGUAUAGACAGUACAAUGGAUAAUACACACAAGUGCAUAUGGAAGUGGAAUGUAUGGAAGUG
rnacentral:lncRNA from 1 species